UACCCUUUACAACAGCACGGAUAAACCUAGAGAAUAUUAUGCUAAGUAAAAUAAGCCAGUCAGAGAAAGACAAAUACCAUAUGAUUUCAUUCAUAUGUGGAACCUAAUGAAUAAAUUGAUUGAACUAACUAGCAAAACAUAGACAGACUCAUAGAUGGAGAGCCAAUGACAGCUAGUUGUGGAGGGAGGUUAGAGGCUUGAGGGAUUGAGCAGAGGAAAAAUGACUUAUGAAUACAGACGGCAGUAUGGUGAUUGCUUGGGGGAGGGAGUUAUAAGGGAACUAAAUGAUAAUGGAAAAAUACAAUAAAGAUUAAAUUUAAAAAAGAAAGUUACUGUCAAAAAUAGAAGUGAAAAAAAUGCUCUGAGGAAAAAACCCACUGAUGAUUCAAAAUGUGUCUUUCACGAUAAAGUCAUUGAUGUUAAGUUGCAAGUUAAAAUUUGAAGUUAUUUAUAAAUUAUGAAAAAAAUAAAGUUACUUUGACAAGCAACCAAUUCUAGAAAGGCACAUUAACUAUCUAUUACAUCCCUAAAUGCAGG